rnacentral:rRNA from 1 species
UACGGAGACGGCGAGCGUUACUCGGAUUUACUGGGCGUAAAGGGUCCGCAGGCGGCCGGGUAUGUCAGGUGUGAAAUCCUAUGGCUCAACCAUAGAUGUGCGCUUGAAACUACCCGGCUAGAGACUCGGAGAGGGAUGUGGAAUUCCAGGUGGAGCGGUGAAAUGCGUAGAUAUCUGGAGGAACACCAACGGCGAAGGCAGCAUCCUGGACGAGAUCUGACGCUCAUGGACGAAAGCGUGGGGAGCGAAAGGG